rnacentral:rRNA from 1 species
UGCAGUCGAACGAGACCUUCGGGUCUAGUGGCGCACGGGUGAGUAACGCGUGGAAACCUACCAUUCUGUACGGAAUAACGAUUGGAAACGAUCGCUAAUACCGUAUACGCCCUGUGGGGGAAAGGUCCGCCGCAGAAUGAGGGGUCCGCGUCCGAUUAGCUUGUUGGUGGGGUAAAAGCCUACCAAGGCGAUGAUCGGUAGCUGGUCUGAGAGGAUGAUCAGCCACACUGGGACUGAGACACGGCCCAGACUCCUACGGGAGGCAGCAGUGGGGAAUAUUGGACAAUGGGGGCAACCCUGAUCCAGCAAUGCCGCGUGUGUGAAGAAGGCCUUAGGGUUGUAAAGCACUUUCAAUGGUGAAGAUGAUGACGGUAGCCGUAGAAGAAGCCCCGGCUAACUUCGUGCCAGCAGCCGCGGUAAUACGAAGGGGGCGAGCGUUGUUUCGGAAUUACUGGGCGUAAAGGGCGCCGCAGGCGGCCAAUCCAGUCAGGUGGUGAAAGCCCCGGGCUUAACCUGGGAACUGCACUUGAUACUGAUUGGCUUAGAAAACGGAAGAGGGCAGUGGAAUUCUCCAGUGGUAGAGGUGAA